AAUGAACGCUGGCGGCAUGCCUAACACAUGCAAGUCGAACGAGACCUCCGGGGCAAGUGGCGCGCGGGUGCGUAAAGGGGGGGAACCUGCACUUAGGCUCGGAAUAACGCCCCGGAAGGGGUGCUAAUAGCGGUUAAUGUCCUCGGACCAAAGAUUUAACGCCUUUGGAGGGGCCCGCGUUGGUUUAGCUAGUUGGUAGGGUAAAAGCCUACCAGGGCGACGAUCGAUAGCUGGUCUGAGAGGCUGAUCAGCCACACUGGGGCUGAGACACGGCCCGGACUCUUACACGAUGCAGGAGAGGCUAAUCUAGCACAAUCGGGGGAAGGAUGAAGCACCUAGGCCGGGUGAGUGAUGAAGGCCGUAAGGUUGUAAAGCUCUUUUACCCGGGAUGAUAAUGACGGUACCGUAAGAAUAAGCUCCGGCUAACUCCGUG
rnacentral:rRNA from 1 species